AGGAGAGAGAGAAAUUUCCAAGAGAGAGAACCCACUUAAAUUUCGUUGUUCCAAGACAACGCUCUGAGCAGAGAGACAGAUUGCUUGGUAAUAAUUUACCCCAAAGCAUGGAUUGAUUUGAUGGCGGGGACGAUCCUGGGAUGGACUGGAG